rnacentral:rRNA from 1 species
UACGAGAGGCCCAAACGUUAUUCGGAUUUACUGGGCUUAAAGAGUGCGUAGGUGGUGAGGUAAGUCGGAUGUGAAAUCUCCGAGCUCAACUCGGAAAUGGCAUUGGAAACUACCUUGCUUGAGGGUUGGAGGGGGGACUGGAAUACUUGGUGUAGCAGUGAAAUGCGUAGAUAUCAAGUGGAACACCAGUGGCGAAGGCGAGUCCCUGGACAACUCCUGACACUGAGGCACGAAAGCUAGGGGAGCAAACAGG